rnacentral:rRNA from 1 species
GACGAACGCUGGCGGCGUGCCUAAUACAUGCAAGUUGAGCGAUGAAGAUUGGUGCUUGCACCAAUUUGAAGAGCAGCGAACGGGUGAGUAACGCGUGGGGAAUCUGCCUUUGAGCGGGGGACAACAUUUGGAAACGAAUGCUAGUACCGCAUAAUAACUUUAAACAUAAGUUUUAAGUUUGAAAGAUGCAAUUGCAUCACUCAAAGAUGAUCCCGCGUUGUAUUAGCUAGUUGGUGAGGUAAAGGCUCACCAAGGCGAUGAUACAUAGCCGACCUGAGAGGGUGGUCGGCCACAUUGGGACUGAGACACGGCCCAAACUCCUACGGGAGGCAGCAGUAGGGAAUCUUCGGCAAUGGACGAAAGUCUGACCGAGCAACGCCGCGGGAGUGAAGAAGGUUUUCGGAUCGUAAAACUCUGUUGGUAGAGAAGAACGUUGGUGAGAGUGGAAAGCUCAUCAAGUGACGGUAACUACCCAGAAAGGGACGGCUAACUACGUG